rnacentral:rRNA from 1 species
UACAGAGGUCUCAAGCGUUGUUCGGAUUCAUUGGGCGUAAAGGGCACGUAGGCGGCGGGGUAAGUCGGGUGUGAAAUCUCAGAGCUCAACUCUGAAACUGCACUCGAUACUGCUCUGCUUGAGGACUGGAGAGGAGACUGGAAUUCACGGUGUAGCAGUGAAAUGCGUAGAUAUCGUGAGGAAGACCAGUGGCGAAGGCGGGUCUCUGGACAGUUCCUGACGCUGAGGCGCGAAGGCCAGGGGAGCAAACGGG